rnacentral:rRNA from 1 species
AUUGCUAGUAAUGGCAGGUCAGCAUACUGCCGUGAAUACGUUCCCGGGCCUUGUACACACCGCCCGUCACACCAUGAGAGUUGGGGAUACCCAAAGCCCGUGAGCCAACUUAUAAGAGGCAGCGGUCUAAGGUAGAAUCAAUGAUUGGGGUGAAGUCGUAACAAGGUACC